UUGAACGCUGGCGGCAUGCCUUACACAUGCAAGUCGAACGGUAGAGGGGCAACCCUUGAGAGUGGCGAACGGGUGAGUAAUGCAUCGGAACGUGCCCAGUCGUGGGGGAUAACGCAGCGAAAGCUGUGCUAAUACCGCAUGUGAUCUGUGGAUGAAAGCGGGGGACCGCAAGGCCUUGUGCGAUUGGAGCGGCCGAUGUCAGAUUAGCUAGUUGGUAGGGUAAAAGCCUACCAAGGCGACGAUCUGUAGCUG
rnacentral:rRNA from 1 species